rnacentral:tRNA from 1 species
GGAGAGUUGUCUGAGUGGUCGAAAGUGUAGCACUCGAAAUGCUAUGAACGACUUAAUCGUUCCCAGGGUUCGAAUCCCUGACUCUCCGCCA